rnacentral:lncRNA from 1 species
AUCCUCCUGCCUCAGCCUCCCAAAACGCUGGGAUUACAGGCACGAGCCACCACGGCCAGCCCAUGACUUAUCUUUAAAUCCCAGUAGGUAGCCCAAUGCCUGGCACUUGGUUGGCCCUCAGGAUACUUUUCUUGGAGUAGCCAUAAAUAAGUGGGUGCCCCAGGGAGGUUGGGAUGAGCAAUACUGAGAAGUUUAAGGCACAGUUCUCCUGCCAAAGCGGUUGGUCUCUUUCCACCGUCACCUGGUUUCCCUGGAUCAGCUAUUACAUCUCAUUAAUAUCUUAUAUUUCAUUUUCUUUGUAGUUCCCUUGCAAUGUUUCCCAAUGUGUGUCCUGUGGGACAAUAGUUCAGUGGAAUAUUAAUUAAGUAUUAUAGUGCAAAGGGAUUCUGAGAUCAAGUGAGUUUGGGAAAUAGCAAGUUAAAGAAAAGGAAGCAGGUUUAUUUGCUGAGGGACUUAUCAGAGCCUUUCAUGUGUUCAUGGAUGUUGUUACCAUCCACAAAGGUAACAGGGGCUUUCGUGUUUCCCACACCUUUUUGACCUUGAAAUCAUUAUUUUUUCCCCUUUGAGUAUCUCACAGGACUAGUGUUCUGAGGAGCAGUACACUGAGAAAUGGUCCUCUAGACAGAGAGGAAAUGCUGUCUUCCCCCUUUAUUGGCUAUGUGGGAUUCGUAUAAUUUGCUUAUUUGUCGGAUCCAUUAUUGCUGGGUGUGGGAGAGCAGGCAUGUGUUAGACUGUCCAUCUUCAGAGAGGUUUCCUGCUCUUCCUGUUCGUCCAGUAGUUAUGGGCUGUGAUUGUUAUGGUGAUAGCAGGGAGGCUGCAGACCCCAGAGGGGAUUAGGCAUAUCUGUGUGUAAACUUUGGGCAAUGUCUUUCUUUCAACUGGGCUUGAAUCACAGCAUUGCAUACCCUAAGAAAACAUCAUGAGGUAUAUAAAGUUCCCAUACUCCCAUUAAGUGGCCUGGUUUUCGUCUUUAAGUAUGGUGGGGCUGGUAGGAGUAGAACACGGGAUGAUGUAUCACUUCUCCUGGGUUUCUCAACCUCAGCACGACUGACAUUUGGAUGGGAUCAUUGUUUGUGGGGUCUGUCCUGUGCCUUGUAGGAUAUUUGGCGGCAUCCCUGGCUUCUACCCACUAGAUGUCAGUAGCACGUAUCAUCCCUCCUGCCUCCCCAUUGUGACAACCCAAAAUGUAGGCAGACAUUGCCAAGUGUCCUCUAGGGGACAAAAUCCCUCUCCCAUUGAGAACCACUGCUUUAAGAGAAGAUUACCCAAAGUCUGUGCAAGGCUUUUGGAAUACUCUUGGAAGGAUUUUUAUCAUACUCUUGGAAGAAGGAAGUAGUGCUAUCAUGCUCAAAGCAUGGUCUGAGAGCCUAUAAGACGUGCCAGCUAAUGAAACUCUCCCCUGGGGUGUUUUCGUAACUCAUCCUUAAGGCUCGUAUAUCUGUUGAGUUUCUUGGUUGCAAGUUACAGAAAACCCAAUCCAAAAUGGUCUAAGCCAGAAAAUGAAUUUUUUGGCUGUGGUAACUGAAGAGUCCGACACAGUGCUAACUUUAGGCACAGCUGGAUCCAGGUGCUUAAGCAGUGUUAUCAAGAAACAAGAAUUUUUCCAAAUCUUUGCUCUGAUUUCCUCAUUAUUGAUAUCAUUCUCAGACAGGCUCUUCCCAUGUGGCAGUGAGAAAGCUGCCAGCAGCUCCGGCCUACUCCUCACUAGAACAGAUCUGGUGGAAAGGGAAAGCUUCUCUUCCCUCAUGGUUUGAAUGCAAGUCCUGGAUCUGAUUCCCAUUGGCCUGGGAUACUACGCUAUUCUCAUUAGCUGUGCCGGGUUCACACGCCUGUCCCUGGAGCCUGGGGAGGAGCCAACACCAACGGAACCAUUUGGUGGGGAACAGGAGAGGAAUGGUUCUUUAGAGGCAAACGGGGCAGUUACUUGAAGAGAGGUCAGCGGAUGCUGGUCAGACAAGCACCUCUAUUGCCUCAUUCAUAAAAAUAACUAAACGACAGCCAAUAACGGCAGCUCCCACUUGUCGAACAUGAAUUCUGUACCAGACCCUACCUAUACUGCGUGAUCGCUAAUCACCACCAGCAUCCUGAGAGGCAGCUGUUGUCAACCUAUUUUACAGAUGGGUAAGUGGAGUCUCAGAGGCAGAUGAAAUGACUUGGCUGAAGUCACAGAGUGGGGCAGUGGCUGAGCCACAGACCGGAGGCAUCCUUUUACCUCCUCUAGGACACCCUCUGUAACUGACUUUCUUCCUGCUGCAAUCCAAAAGGUCUCCCAAGGUCGCCUGUUGCUAUUUUGGAAAGAGGUGGACAGAUACUGGAGGGCCACUCUUCAGGCCACUGCCCAAUCUUUUCUUGUCAAUUUGAUGUCAGCUUGUGCCAAUCAUCCCUGAAGGGCCAUUCUGACACAGCAAGUAAGGGAAAGCUUGGCCGGCGUUUUCUGGUUUGGCUCUGUUCUGCCUGCUUGGUCCAUUUUCCUCACCUCCGUUUUUGCCCGUUGCCGCUGUUUUUAUCUUCCAUCCCCCCAGGGAGCCUGCAGAGGGUGCAUUAGUAAUAAAGCUAACAUUUCCAGAGAGAGAGAGAGAUAUCAAGGAAUUUCCAUGACAUGAUUUCAUGAAGUUUUCUCAAAUAUCAUAUCAAGUAGACACUACUAUUAUCCCCAUUUUACAGAUGGAGCAACUGAGGCCUGGAGAGGCUAGAGGACUUGCCCAAGGUUGCCCAGCCAGCAGAUGGGAGAACUGGUGUUUGAAUCCAGGCAGGACCCAUUGCUUUUAUUACGGUACCAAAACUUCAGAAAAUUGCAAACCAGUGGCCUGUGAGUCAAAUCUGGCUAACAGAUAUAUUUUGCUUGGCCCACAUAGUAUUUCAAAACCCAUUUGAACUCAUUGCCAAUGUUUAAAAAUUGAGAACCUGCACAUCAAAAAACAAAAUUUGUUCUUUUCUGCUUCUCUUGAAAAAAAAAAAAUCAGAGAAGAUUGGCACCACUGGGCCUACAUUCCUGCCUGGCAGAGACCGGCUGGAGCUGCAGCUCAGUCCCAGGUGCCUGCUUUGGGUGGGGUGUGUUCCUCCAGCUGGAUGCAGUCCCCACCACUCCCUAAUACCUUCCCAGUGCUGAGGCCGGUGUCAUUUGCUGUGGCUCACUGUGUGUGCUCUGCGGUGUCCCUUGCGCCCCUCCUGGCUUACCUGCCUGGCUCUGGAGGGCACAUGGGCUUGCUGCUCCUCCCCCACAUGCAGGAGCUCCCGCCAGCCUCUGACCACAGUGGUUUGGGGUUGCUGUAAUCUCUCUCCACACAUUCAGUGGAACGGUCUUCUGCUGGUGAAGGUCUGACUUAGGCACUAGAAGAGUUGGACAGAGCCCCAAAUUUUCCUUUCCUCCAGUACCCCAAUCCCACCCCCUCCCACACUUUGGUUUAUUGGUCAGCAAAGGCCACUUUCUUGGCAGUGUUUGUCUUGGGUACACAACCACUUUUUCUUGCUCCCCGCAGAGCCCCCUAACGUUUUCUUCCUAAUCCUCCUCAGGAGAACCAUCACUCGGAUUAUCAUGAAACCCGAGCGUGUGCGCAUGAGAAUCACAGAGUGGCCAAGAGUGAGGACGUUGACACUACACAGACCUGGGGCAGACCCGGCCCUGCUGCUGAGUGGUUGACUGGCCCCAGGUAGCACUGCCUUGAAACUACUCCUAGCAAGAAACACAGCUUCUGAUCAUGGGAGAACCUAUUUGCAUCACAGUUCACAAACAUGCUUUUAGACACUCUCCACUUCAGUGGAGGAAACAGAGCCCCAGCGAGGGGAAGAGACUUACCCAAGUCACGUAGCUAAGAGGCAAAAUCAGGAUUCAGACUCAGCCUCCCAGCGCUCACUCCACAGUGCCUUGUUGGCCCAGCCCUAGAAGGCCUCCUGGCUGGAGGCCAUUGCCUGAGCCUGGGGAUGACACAUAUGUCCACUGGAUGUCAUGAUUUCUCUACUGAAGCUAGCUGGACCUUCUUGGCAGUGACAUAGGAUUUUCCCCCUUCCUGGGGCAAAGCAGUCUCAUAUGGGACACUCAGGUGGUGGCUCUCCCUCCUUUUGGCUCAAAGACAGGAGGUAAGGCCUGCAUCCUGUUUUCCUAGGGUGGGGAAAGUCUGCACACAGGUGGAUCCACUCUUUCCUGGGGACCUGGGAUCAUUGCAGCCUUCUCCACCCCACAGGCCCCUCCACAGCCUCUGCCCAAAUCCCCUUUCCCGGACUCCAAGUUGUAUCACCUUAGUUAACGCUUCAUUCCCCAGGUGUCUAAGAAAAAAAUGUUCUCCCCAUGCAGUUUCUCCACCUGGGAAACAGGCGGCCUUCUCUCUCUCUACGUCAUCAAGUCAGUGCAGAGCGCAUGGAGCAGCAACGCCCUGCCCAGCUCUGGGCUGCCCGCUGCGUGCUGAGGAUCCAGAGACAAACCAGCCAUGCUCCUGGCUGAGCGGAAGGUCCUCCCGAGCCUGCACAGUCUGAACUUGCUGAGCAGCCUGAGCUGGCGAAGAUGCCCUCCUUUAGAGGAGCGUGCAGACUUGAUAAGGGAAACAGAUGGGCCAACAGAUAAUUCCCAGCAGAGGUGUGUUCAAACAUGAGCCCUGGGGACUAGGUACUAAGCAGAUGGAGGAACAGAGAUGUAAGUAACUUACCCAAGAUCACACAGCCAGCAGAUCUGCACCGAGGCAGU